GAGAAGAAACUGCAGCAGAGUCGGCACAGGACCCCAGCUUCCAUCCUCACGUUGUGUGGACAUGGUCCAGCUUCCUGCCGCGGACCAUGAGCAAUCCAAGGGUAGGGGAGCCUCAAGAGGGAGACACUGAGCCUUUACGUAAUGAGGCAGGGAGGGGUUCAAGCAAUUAAUUGAGAAAGGAUGUGACAGGACUGGCACCUGGUCACUUUGUGGCCGUGAGCACCAGCUCCGCCUAUCCCCUCUGCAGGGCAGAAGGGACAGUGCUGCGGGAGGCGGAGGUGCUGUGGCUCUGGGAAGGCUGAAAAGGGACGGCUGCAAAGGAGAAGAGCUUCGAGUCCUUUCCAUCAGGAGAAAAACCCGGUCAGCUGUGGAGGAGCACUGCACAGGAGUCAGAAAGUGGAGUCUGGGCGUGACCUUGCACCUGACCAGCCUGGGGCUCUAGGUCCGCCACAUCUGGACUAAUCUCCUGUGUCCUGAGCUCCCAGGACCCCAGAGGCAAGCAUGGAGGGGCCACGCUGGCAGAUUGAAGUCACAGAGAAAGGCAGGAAAACUUCCUGGCUUAGGUUUCCAAAGGCCUCUGGGGGAUGAAGAGAACCCACAGUGGCUUAGGACGAGCUCCUGCACAGCGGCCUGUUUCCCAAUUGCAUCGUGUAUCUCUUUGCCUCUCUUGGCUCAGCCAUGGCCCCAGCCCCAGGCCAUCCAAGGGGCAGCCUGGUGAGGUUUCUUCAACUUUGCUAAUGACUUGACCUACAGUCUUAAGUCAAGAAGGUGUCGCUCUCCUUUGUGAUGGCUGGACGCACAGGAGCUGUGGUCAGGAUGGGGCUAGAGGAGCUGAAAUCCCAGGGCAACAAGGGUAUUUAAAAACACAUCGCAGGAGAAACAGCUAAAGAGUCUUGGAACCAGGAAUCAUAAGCUGUUUGAUGGGAUGAACUAUCUUGGGAGUGAUGAGGUCCCCAUCACUGAAAGUAUUCAAGCAGAGAGAGUCAUGGAAUUAGGAGACGGAAGAGCAUCAGACACUGAAUGAAGUCUGCACUACAUGAGAUGAAGAACCCUUCCAGCCCUGAGGCCGAGCAGCCACUUCUCUGGAGCAGGCUGGCCCAUCUAUGUCCAGGAGGCCAGCCCCAGGCUAGCUUCUGAGCACGGGGAGCUAAGUCCUUCGCCUUCCAGAGACUGCACAAAGUGUGUGCCACCUCCACAGAACCCUCCUCAUCCACCCGAGAACUCUUCCUCACCUGACCUAAAGCUCUUCAUUUCAUACCACCUUUCAAGCGAAUUAAGGAUUAAUUGCCAGCAGCAAUCUCUGUCUUUGUUUGUUUUCUCUAAUGGAAAACCUUUCUCUCGGGAGGGUAAGGUUAUCAGUCAUUCACAGCUCAGUUGUGCUGUGUUUGAUUAGACUGGACGGCAAAGCUGAGUCCUGUUUCGGCUCUGUGCGAUCCUGGGCCCCUUGGAGCCUGUUUUCUCAUCUAUGAAAUGGGAGUAAUAAUAGUGCUUAUUGCACAGUUGUUUUAAGAACUAAAAAUUUAAAUUGCCUAGAAUGUUAUACAAACAUAAGCUGCCAUAUUUUGGAAAAAUGAGCCAAGAUCAGUGGUGCCAAGGGAAGAAUGGGCAGAGGUGAGCUGUGGGCAGCCGUGGAGGAUGGUCCACGGUGUGGCUGCCAGAGGGCAUCGGGGGCCAGGCAACUCCAGAAAGGAGCUAGGAAUGUUAGAGAAAACUGCACUAACAGCCAGCAUGCGUGAAGAACUGAUUCAUACUACACCGUGGAUGAACCUCAAGAACAUUAUUCUCGGCAAAAGCAGACAGACACAAAAGGUCACAUAGCAAAUGCUUCCGUUGAUAUGAAAUGUCCAGCACUGGCAAAUCCACAGAGACAGAAAGUAGAUUAGUAAUAGCCAGCGGCUGCAGACAGGGAAGGAGGGGAGUGAUGACUUAAUGGGUACAGGGAUUUUAUUUUGGGGUAAUGAAGAUAUUUUGGAAUGAGACAGAGCUGGUGGCUGCAUAGAGCACUAUGAAAGUGCUAAUUGCCAUUGAAUUAUUCACUUCAAAACAGUUAAUUUAACGCUAUGUGAAUUUCACCUCAAUAAAAA
ensembl:lncRNA SCTR-AS1 SCTR antisense RNA 1